UUGUCGGCUAAGCAAUGUGGAUACUUCGUGUAAGACGUAGUCGUUUUAACCCAAUUGGUAUCGUACGGUUUCUCACUCACGCCACUGAGAGCGUGAGGGUUCAAUCCCGCCAUACCAGCAUCCACAUGCGCAAUCCGAUAUUCUU
rnacentral:vault_RNA from 1 species